AUCUGCGUUUUCAAAAAUACCCGGGUACGUGUGGACAUAGCCUGAACCAAUCGCCAAAGCUCUCCCCCUCAGCUGUAAAGCCAAGCGGAGGAGAAAAGAAGCCAAGGUGGUGCUCAGAAGCUUUUAAAGGUGAUUUACUGGCUGCUCCUGAACACGGCGGGCGGACCGUCUGUGCAGAAACGAGCUGACGGCCGCUGAGGAAACGCCCACCUGAUAUUAACACGGCGAGUUGGAUCAAGCACAAGCUGUUCGGCUGCAGCUCCUCGCUGUCAGAGGGAAGAGCCGCUGCUGAGCGCCAACGCCGCUCGCAGUAACACGAGUUUAAACUAGUUCCGCUUUGACUUUAAGGAGCAGCUCCAUGAGAGUGCAGAAGCAGCAGGAGCCAUGACCAGCGCUGCUCUUAGACACCUUUACAGGGCGCCGGGGGCGGGGCCGUGAUAAUAAUUGCACAGCUCUCCUGACGGUAAACUGACGGGCAGCACACAGAGGGGCCCUCGCAGUGACGUGAAAGAGGAUCAGGAUUUCUUCAUUUUUAAAGAAGACGGCGAUCGGAGGCCACAGGAAGUAAUCACGCCCGUCUGAGCGUGUCGGAGAUUCCUGGUGUGGAUUAGAGGCCAGGAGGGGCUUUCUGCCCGCUUCCCUCUUGGAUCGGACUCUAACCGAGCAGGAAGCCACUUCACCCUCCCCUCUGAGUGCUGUGGCAUUUGGACGCCUACGCCGCGGCUCUGGCGUCUAUGCGAGGUGCAGGCGGCACACUGACCUUUGAAUAACAAGGCCCUAUACACUCCGCCACCUACUGAAGGCUCACAGCUCGCCGCCUCCGGCUGGCUCUCUCCCACAAUGCAAUGCUCUCCAACCAGUCCCACCACCAGCACCACAGACACAGGCGAAACACGGACUGUAGCGCUGAUGAUGCUUCCACCUGCACACCUGAUUGGAAAGGAGAGAAGUGAGAGAAGCAGCGAAAACCUCAACUUCCACCAAAGAACAACGGAGGCGGCUUACAGAAACUGAGGAAGAGGAGGAGGAAGCAUGAUUGCCCCACAGCUUGCUUGUGCAAGCACACCUGUGGUUUAAACUAUGAUGACCUCAUCAAACGCCUUGCCGCUCACUCACCGAGGACACAUAGAGAAGAUGUACUCGUAAACUGACCCUCCACGUUAGACCUGACGGUCUUUCACCUGGAUGUCACCUGCAGCAGGAACCUCCUGACAGUCGGAGCUGCUGAAGCCGGCUGCCAGCAUCCAUCACCCACUCGCACCCAACGGCCGAGCGUACGGGGAACAGCAGGGCGCAUCGUAAAUCAGCCGCCGUGGGAAUGUUUACAUUACACUUCAAUAAUCUAAUAAACCUGAUGAUUUCAUAAAGGCUGGUUUCAUUAACUGACAUUAACCUAAGACUGUAAACUGAGCUUAGACAAACACCUGGUUAUCCUAAAUUAGAGAUUAAUGUCUCAGUGUGUACUCUGACAAACUGAUAAGGUCUGUGGAGGCCCUGAGGGCACACGCGUGUCUCAUCGGGCACACUGUUCCUGAGCAGCAGCCGCCAUCAGCCCGUUAAAGCCAAACGUGUACGGCUCACUUCAAACAGCACGUUUCACGGUUAAGGAAACAGACGGAGCUUCCUGCAUCACAGACAGUGUUUAUCCGACACAGGCUCACUCACAGCAAACCACAAAACAUGGAAACCAGAGCGACCAGAGAGCAGCGUGCACAGUGGGUGUGGCCACCUGAACUACCAAUGGGAAUGAAGGUUACCUGACACGUGACACAGCGGUAAACACAGAGGGUUAACCAUGUGGUGAUGCAGCGCCUCUGAUUACUAUGCUGUUACUCAGUCACACUUUUCACUGAAUGGCUGCUCCCUGUAAACAGAAGGUUUGAGCAGCAGGUGGGCGUGGCUUCUGUGCCCAACUCAGUAAAUCUGCUCGUAUUAACCAAUCAAAGCACUUUGUUACUACGAGCUACGUUCACACGCACAAGGCCGACCUGAUCGGGUCUAUGUGACAUCACAGAGAUCCACGAGCUGAAAAAACUGAUAAUCUGAGUGUUGAGGGACUAACACCGACCGUGUUAACACGAACACCCUCCACUGGAACAGACACGUGACAAUAACAUCUGGAUAACAAGCGCACAUCUGUUUUUAAUGAAAACUGAAUCAUUCAAAUAUUCCACACACAUUUGCGUCGCUGUGCUCCUGUUCAACGAUCCACGCCUGCCCCGAGGCCUGACACAGGCGGCUAAAAAACACACUUAAUUAAAAGAAGCAUGUCUUCAUUGGAGGAUCUCAGAGGUGGAGGACUUGAGCUUAUUAAUUCAGGUAGUGGGCAGCUUAUGUAACAGAAAGUCGGGACGAUAAGUCGACUGUUUGGCUGCGCCAACAUCGCGAGGGGGCAGCCAUCAAAGUUCCUGAACCAUAUUUUAAUGCAGCUUCAUUAUCAGGAAGACAGAGAACAGGAGCGUUUGUGAUGAAGCGGCGGAUCGUUUCCUGUCUGACGCUGGAAACACAGACAGGAACUGAUGGAGAAUCAUUGGAUUACUGUGAGGCGCUGACCCAGCUCGUGACCCGAGGAGACCAGGGUCACUUUAAGAAACCACGCCUACCUGAGAGUCACUCACCAAACACUCUUCAUCAUUUUAUUAUUCAUGUGGAUGAAAACGUCUCUCGUAGUGAAUUCAUUCAAACAGUUCAGUUGUUUCGUAACAUCAAGGAAAAAAAGUUUGUUUUCCAAAUAAAAUAAUUAUUCAGCAUGUAAUCAGAUUACAUAAUUAAACAGUAUCAUCCCUGGAUGCUCUCAAACAACUGCAGUAAGAAACCGUUAUCCUUAACCUCGAAGGAGAGGUCAGAGGUCAAAUGGCUCCUUGUCAGUUUUCCACCAGUAAAUGAUGACGUUGACCUCGGUGGAUGGAAGUCGGAGACGGACGGACAGAGGGUUCGGGUCGUGAAGAACUCCGCCUCACCUCGGCUACUGAGCUCUGGACCAUGCAAGAAGGCGGAGCUCCGGGUUUGGUGCACAGUGAGAUUCUAGGAUUUUGAUUGGAUGUUACUGGGCACGCCCUCGUCCAAACUUCUGGAAACAAAAUGUGUGGAUGUGGAGUCUAAACAGUUCUAAACCUACUGUGAUGAUUGUAAACGAUGUUAAAUGUGUCAAACACAAAAAGAGCUGCUGCACAUUUUAUUUUGAAAGGAGUCAUGGCUUGUUCCUGUCACUGCACAUCAUGUUUGGUACACAAACUGUGCCUCUCUCCUGGCGGAGCGCCCGACAUGAAAUUCAUUAAGAAAAUCAAUUAAGGUGGACGUCUCUCGCCUCAUACGGAGGGGUGGAGGGGCGGAGGAGGCGGUGCGCCUCGUUCUUUGUUCUCUUUGUUUUAGAGGCUGCGGUGCUGCAGAGCCGGACCUUCAAGCCUCUUAAAUUGGCACCCCUCCACCCCCCUCUCAUGUAGCUCCCACUAUUUCUGCCUCCCUCCCCCAUCCCUCCCCCAUUCCCUUCACCCAUCUCCUCCUGCUGCCCCAUUCUGCCGGCUCCUCCUCCAUCAACCCUCCGUUACCACCUCCCCACCUCCACAGAUCUCACAUGUUUUCAUCCUGCCCCCACCCCCUCCCCCUCGCUGUCAUGUUUGUGGUUUCCAUGGAAACCGAUGUCUGUUCUAAUGAUGCUGAUUUGAUAAAAUUCUGAUUCCAUAAAUAGAUUUUAAGAAACAAGCCUGAAACUACUGGUCACCAUCACCACCAUCAUCACCAUCACCACAGGGAUCUUCACUCUUCACUUUAUGAGCAUGUGCAGCACGACACAGAAGACUGAGUGACCCGAGUGGUUACACCACCUCAGUUUGGUUUUUGACGAUACUGUUCAUUAACAGAAACAUCUAAACGUGCUGAACUUUAAAACACGUGCCCGUUUUAUCCAAUCUACGAGUGACGGAGCAGCUGUAUUUUCCCUGGUUUUCUACUGACUGAGUCAACGUCUCCUCCAGCGUGAACAUACAGGAAGUGGCUCACUGUGGGCGAGGACAAAGAAAGAGCGUGUCUGUUGGAACACCAGAAGAUUUGAUUUUAGUCUUACUUCCUAAUUAUUUCAAUCAAGUGUUUCUGCAUAAAAUCUUCCAAAUAUUCCACAUCUGCUAACCAGAUGUUUGCUCAGACAGAAGCACGGAAAGAAAAAAGCCCGUGUGAUGACUUCAUGCUAACUGCUGUUGAUCAUUGUGGUACGGAGCCACCAGUUUGUCUAGAUUUUGGUUUUAAUCAUGUGAACAUACUGUAAUCCAUUUCUGACAUAAAGGAAAAAAAUAGAAUCAUUAAAAAACAAAUCCUUUAAUUUAGUAGCUACAACCGCUCCACUUUGGACAUGGCUGAUUAAACUGUUCUCAUUAAUCCUAAUGGAUGGGUGGAUGAUGGGUGGAUGGGUGGGUGAUGAUGGAUGGAUGGAUGGAUGGAUGGAUGGAUGAGUGAUGAUGGUUGGAUGGGUGGAUGGAUGAGUGAUGAUGGUUGGAUGGAUGUUGAUGGGUAGAUGGACGGAUAGGUGGAUGAUGGAUGGAUGAUGAUGGGUGGAGCAUUCUGAGCAUCAGUCUCUCCUGGUGAGUUUACGGGCUCGUUCGCCUUAUCAG